GGCUGUGCCAAAAGUAGUGAGUUAUCUAAGUUGUUUGUUCACAGACAAUUACAGAUUGAACUCCUUGUUCUACUCUUUGCCCUGUUCUCACUACUGCAUGUGACUAGUCUAAA
rnacentral:Y_RNA from 1 species